UACGUAGGGGGCAAGCGUUGUCCGGAUUUAUUGGGCGUAAAGAGCGUGUAGGCGGCCAGACAGGUCUGCUGUGAAAACUCGAGGCUCAACCUCGAGACGCCGGUGGAAACCGUUUGGCUAGAGUCCGGAAGAGGAGAGUGGAAUUCCUGGUGUAGCGGUGAAAUGCGUAGAUAUCAGGAGGAACACCGGUGGUGUAAACGGCUGUCUGGACCAUAACUGACGCUGAGGCACGAAAGCGUGGGGAGCAAACAGG
rnacentral:rRNA from 1 species